rnacentral:rRNA from 1 species
AUACGGAGGAUGCGAGCGUUAUCCGGAUUUAUUGGGUUUAAAGGGUGCGUAGGCGGGCUGUUAAGCGUGAGGUGAAAGCUCGGGGCUCAACCCCGGAACUGCCUCGCGAACUGGCGGUCUUGAAUGUCCGUGCCGUGGGAGGAAUGUGUGGUGUAGCGGUGAAAUGCAUAGAGAUCACACAGAACACCGAUUGCGAAGGCAUCUCACAAAUCCGUGAUUGACGCUGAGGCACGAAAGUGUGGGGAUCAAACAGGAUUAGAUACCCUGGUAGUCCACACUGUAAACGAUGAUGACUCGCUGUCGGCGAUAUACAGUCGGUGGCCAAGCGAAAGCGAUAAGUCAUCCACCUGGGGAGUACGACCGCAAGGUUGAAACUCAAAUGAAUUGGCGGGG